rnacentral:rRNA from 1 species
AUUGAACGCUGGCGGCAGGCUUAACACAUGCAAGUCGAGCGCGCGGCGGAAGGGUGAGUAAUGUCUGGGAAACUGCCUGAUGGAGGGGGAUAACUACUGGAAACGGUAGCUAAUACCGCAUACCAUCCGAUGUGCCCAGAUGGGAUUGGCUAGUAGGUGGGGUAAUGGCUCACCUAGGCGACGAUCCCUAGCUGGGCUGAGAGGAUGACCAGCCACACGUGAACUGAGACACGGUCCAGACUCCGACGGGAGGUAGAAGUGGGUAAUAUUGUACAAUGGGCGCAAGCCGGAUGCAGGCAGGCCGCGUGUGGGAAGAAGGCCUUCUGGUUGUAAAGCAAUGUCAGCGAGGAGGAGUUACUCGCAGAAGAAGCAACGGCUAACUCCGUGCCAGCCGCCGCGGGAAUUC